AAAGCCAAUCUCAGUUCGGAUUGUAGGCUGCAACUCGCCUACAUGAAGUUGGAAUCGCUAGUAAUCGCGAAUCAGAAUGUCGCGGUGAAUACGUUCCCGGGUCUUGUACACACCGCCCGUCACACCACGAGAGUUUACAACACCCGAGGUCAGUGGCCUAACCGCAAGGAGGGAGCUGCCUAAGGGUGGGGUAGAUGAUUGGGGUGAAGUCGUAACAAGGUAUC
rnacentral:rRNA from 1 species